AGGUAGAGAAAAGGAACAAAGAAUCAGGCAACCCCUGUUGCCGGAAAAAGAGAUGGCAUAGGAGAUCUCUCUUCUCGUCAGAUCUGCUGAGAUGGGAAUGAGAUCUCUCCUCUUCUUUAAAGCUCAUCUAGUAAGCUCAAAUUUGGGACAAGUGAGAGACAGUGGGUUGAAGCCCAAGUUGAAAAUGCUAAGCAGCAGGCUAUUCUUGCGGCACUUAAAUCUCAAGUAUCAUCUGAUGAAGCUCACAUUCAUCAUGAUCUUCAUUCUCUUCGGUGCUUCUUUUCACUGGAUGAUAUUCCUAGCAAGCACUCUGUGGACA